AGAGCUCAUACUGACCUUCAGUGAUGUUUUUUUUGGGUAGGCUACCUCCUGAUGAGAGUUGGCUGGUUGGUGGACCUGCCUCUGGACUCUGGGGUGGUCGGUCUUCUGUUCUGAGAGCAGCAGCAGCUUCUCAGCAAUCAGGCUCCUCCGUCCGCGGCUGAUUUGUGCUGUGAUUGAUGGACGCCGGACGGGAGGAGCGAGUGUACGGAGACGUGUCUGACGGACGAGGGUGAGAGGCACUUAGGCCGAACGGGAGAAUUGCAG
rnacentral:lncRNA from 1 species